UACAGAGGGUGCAAGCGUUAAUCGGAAUUACUGGGCGUAAAGCGUGCGUAGACGGUUGCGUAAGUCAGAUGUGAAAAGCCCCCGGGCUCAACCUGGGAAUUGCAUUUGAGACUGCGUAGCUAGGGUGCGGAAGAGGGAAGCGGAAUUUCCGGUGUAGCGGUGAAAUGCGUAGAUAUCGGAAGGAACACCAGUGGCGAAAAGCGGCUUCCUGGUCCAGCACCGACGUUCAGGCACGAAAGCGUGGGGAGCAAACAGGAUUGAGAAAC
rnacentral:rRNA from 1 species